rfam:Prevotella corporis strain MJR7716 genomic scaffold Scaffold51, whole genome shotgun sequence.
GGGCUUGUUUGGAUUUGACGGCAAGACGAAAUGGUAUGUAAGCAUGCGGAGCGUCGGUGGCUGGCUCCUAAAUAUCAGUUAUCAAACAAUUAAUUGGCGAAAACAAUUACGCUCUCGCUGCCUAAUCGAAGUACAGUAGAUUACUGGCUUUAUUCCGUCGCAAGGCGAUGGAACGAGACAUCGCUCCAAGGAUGUUGUUCCGAAUCCAAGGAUCAAGCGGUGCAGGAAAAUCGGAAAUAGUUCGGCUGUGCCUCGCCGGUCGGAUGAAAUUUAGAGGAUAAGGCUACAGUUGGUGGUUCAGGUCUUGCUGUAGCUCGAAAACCAAAGGCUGAAAUAAGCAUGUAGAAAGCGUAUGGUUUCCUUGUGCGGACGUGGGUUCGACUCCCACCAGGUCCACCA